GCCAUGGCGAUGGAAUACGAUAUUGCCUUGAGGGAUAUAACCAGUAUCCUAAGGAUCUCACACACCAGUCUACCUGAGUGCCAUGUGUUCCUGUUUUGCUCCAACAAUCACACGAUUACUUUCUUUGAAAAGGUUCGUCAACUCUAUCUUGGUUCAUCGAGAUUGAAGUGGAUUGUAACAUCAGUGAUUGAUAUCUCCACCAGUCUUCAAGAAGUGUUAACCGAAGGAACACAGGUUGUGUUAGUCCUUCCAGUUUCAUUUGACAGCUUCCAAGUGCUUGUCCCAAACAUUCAUCACGGCAGCGAAGUGAGGUAAUAUUACACACAUUCAGUUUCCUUUCUGAUCGUUCUAUUGCUGGUGUAGCAGACGGUCACAGUUCUACUAUAUCUAAUAAGUCAUGUUCCACACGUUUCUGUCCUAUUACCCAGUCUCUUCCUAUUAUUCAUCAAUCAUUUCCUAUCCACUUCUACUCUUAUCCACUUAUCACUUUUACACGUCUUUUCAGAGACGACCAAUACUUCAGAGAAUAAACAUAUCGCACAGGAGAGCCACAGUAUACCUAUAUUAGGAUUUAAAUUUCAUUAUGGGGACAGAGCAAACAUAUUAUUGAGGGGGGUCUCAGCUCUGUCGUGGACAAACUUUCGUAUCAUGUGGGACGACUGGUCCGCAUGGGGACGAG